AGAGCGAACGCUGGCGGCGUGCCUAACACAUGCAAGUCGAACGCUCUCCAUUCGGUAGCAAUACUGAUGAAGAGGGAGUGGCGAACGGGUGAGUACCACGUGAGCAACCUGCCCCGAAGACUGGGACAACACCGGGAAACCGGUGCUAAUACCGGAUAUCCCUAUCGGAUCGCAUGAUCUGAUAAGGAAAUGGAUUCCGCUUCGGGAGGGGCUCGCGGCCUAUCAGCUAGUUGGUGAGGUAAUAGCUCACCAAGGCAUCGACGGGUAGCUGGUCUGAGAGGACGAUCAGCCACACUGGGACUGAGACACGGCCCAGACUCCUACGGGAGGCAGCAGUGGGGAAUCUUGCGCAAUGGGCGAAAGCCUGACGCAGCAACGCCGCGUGGAGGACGAAUGCUUUCUGAGUUGUAAACUCCUUUCAGCAGGGACGAGUUGUGACGGUACCUGCAGAAGAAGCGACCGGCCAACGUACGCG
rnacentral:rRNA from 1 species